rnacentral:lncRNA from 1 species
GAAAUCACAAGUUGAAUAUUAUUAUUGUCAUAAACACGGACUCAGAAAGAUACAAAUCUUCAAAUCUAUCCAAGUUUCGACAUUGAAAAUGAUAAACACAAGGGAAAACUGAACUAGUGUAACUACCGUGGAAACAGACAUAACAACGACAAUAUAACAUUGAAGAUAGAAUACGAUCAGAUUCCAUCUGUGAUUCUGAAUAAUUCAGAAUAUAAUUAGGAUACCGAAUAUGAUUAGGAUAUACCUAGCUUAAUUAAGUAGUGAAUCAUUCAGAAUCGUAGAUGUUAUUGUAAUCUGAUCAAGCAGAAAGAAGAUUAAGUAGUGAAUCAUUCUUUGAUUAAAUUCCAGAUUCCAGAACAUUACAAACAACCACCUAACGACAUUAUAACUGAUUAAGCAUCAGUACCUAACAUUAUCUUCUUUCUCUGCAUUACUGCAUCAGUUUGUGUGUUUUCUGCACAUUUAAAACACACCAGAGUUUAACAACAUAAGCAUGAACAAACCAUCUUUCAAACAUACACUAUACGAUUGAAUACCUAGUAGCUCUUCUACUGUGGUGUCCUCCAUCGCUGGGGCAGGAGAAAUCACCUUCCAGCUCCUUCAUAUCUUUUUUAAGAACGUCU